UGUUGUUUAACGCCGCACUCAGCAAUAGUCCAGCUAUAUGGCGGGGGUCUGUAAAUAAUCGAGUCUGGACCAGACAGUCCAGUGAUCAACAUGAUGAACGUCGAUCUACACAAUGUGGGAUACGAUGACAUGUGUUAACAUGUCAGCCAGA